AAAAUGCGGUUGUUCAUUGUAAGGCGAUACUCUGAUUGCCAAAGAUAAAGCUCUGCAGAAUAAUGAAAGAGAAGCCGCUCCACAAGUCAUAAACGACAAAGGAAUUGAAUUGAUAUCUUGGCUUUCUAUGGCCAAGAAAGCAAUUUCAAUCUGAUAAAUGGCAGCUGCUAUGGGAAUAUUAUAAAAUUUGCACAUUGCAAACAAUAAAAAGGCAAUUUAUGUGGCUGCUGAGUAAACAUUUAAUUGCUAUUAUAUGGCAAUAGACAAACAAGCAAAGCAAUUAUAAUAACAACAAACUAAAACGGAAAUUGUGGAAAUUUGAUAAAAUUGCAAUUUCAGUUAAUUUGGCAUCGGCCUUGGCUCGGCUUUGCUUGGCUCUGGACCAGCAGCAUUUAUUGACACUCGUCUCUUAUCAUAACUAAAAUCGUUUGCAUGUAUUAUGACACACAAACAGCAACAGCAACAGCAACUAGGCAAACAACAACAAUGCAACAGAGAGCAAACAGCACUGGAUGAGUUGUCGCAAUGGGCGCUGAGGGCGCAACACGAGAUGCCCAACUGGAGCUGCAACUGCCAACUGGACAGUUGCGGGACACCCCGUUGCUAGACACUUGGGCACAACUGAAACUGAGAGCAAAAACUAAAUAGAUGUAGACAACUGGAAAUACUCUUUAAGAAAAAUGAUUAGCUGCUGCAAUAUGAACUGAAAGCAUUUGUUGUAAUAGUGUACAAAGUGGGAAAUUCGAAACGGAAUUCCCGAAAACAGUUGAAUAAGGAAAUUUAAAGUGAAAUUCGCAAAACAGAGAAUUGACGAAAAAGGAAGAAAUUUGGAAAAAAUAGUACUUGAAGAAGUAAAGUAGGAAAUUGAAAAGUAAAUUCAAUCAAAUAUAUGGAAAUUCCAUACAGCCAUAUGAGCAGUGGAAGGCGAAGAGAAAUUCUCAAAAUGAACAGAAAAGUCUUUAAUAAAAGCUGAUGUCGCGAGA